rnacentral:rRNA from 1 species
GACGAACGCUGGCGGCGUGCCUAAUACAUGCCAGUAGAACGCUGAAGGAGGAGCUUGCUUCUCUGGAUGAGUUGCGAACGGGUGAGUAACGCGUAGGUAACCUGCCUGGUAGCGGGGGAUAACUAUUGGAAACGAUAGCUAAUACCGCAUAAUAGUAGAUGUUGCAUGACAUUUGCUUAAAAGGUGCAAUUGCAUCACUACCAGAUGGACCUGCGUUGUAUUAGCUAGUUGGUGGGGUAACGGCUCACCAAGGCGACGAUACAUAGCCGACCGGAGAGGGUGGUCGGCCACACUGGGACUGAGACACGGCCCAGACUCCUACGGGAGGCAGCAGUAGGGAAUCUUCGGCAAUGGACGGAAGUCUGACCGAGCAACGCCGCGUGAGUGAAGAAGGUUUUCGGAUCGUAAAGCUCUGUUGUAAGAGAAGAACGAGUGUGAGAGUGGAAAGUUCACACUGUGACGGUAUCUUACAAGAAAGGGACGGCUAACUACGUG